UACAGAGGGUGCGAGCGUUGUUCGGAAUUAUUGGGCGUAAAGCGCAUGCAGGCGGGAUGUUAAGUCGCGUGUGAAAGCCCCAGGCUCAACCUGGGAAGUGCGCGCGAAACUGGCAACCUUGAGUGCUGGAGAGGGUGGCGGAAUUCCCGGUGUAGAGGUGAAAUUCGUAGAUAUCGGGAGGAACACCAGAGGCGAAGGCGGCCACCUGGACAGACACUGACGCUGAGACGCGAAAGCGUGGGGAGCAAACAGG
rnacentral:rRNA from 1 species